UGUGGGAGUGGGCUUGCUCGCGAUUGCACAGUGUCAGCUAACCCAUAUGUUGACUGACACACCGUCAUCGCGAGCAAGCCCGCUCCCACA
rnacentral:misc_RNA from 1 species